rnacentral:rRNA from 1 species
UUAAGCGACUAAGCGUACACGGUGGAUGCCCUGGCAGUCAGAGGCGAUGAAGGACGUGCUAAUCUGCGAUAAGCGUCGGUGAGGUGAUAUGAACCGUUAUAACCGGCGAUUUCCGAAUGGGGAAACCCAGUGUGAUUCGUCACACUAUCAUUAACUGAAUCCAUAGGUUAAUGAGGCGAACCGGGGGAACUGAAACAUCUAAGUACCCCGAGGAAAAGAAAUCAACCGAGAUUCCCCCAGUAGCGGCGAGCGAACGGGGAGGAGCCCAGAGCCUGAAUCAGUGUGUGUGUUAGUGGAAGCGUCUGGAAAGGCGUGCGAUACAGGGUGACAGCCCCGUACACAAAAAUGCACAUACUGUGAGCUCGAUGAGUAGGGCGGGACACGUGGUAUCCUGUCUGAAUAUGGGGGGACCAUCCUCCAAGGCUAAAUACUCCUGACUGACCGAUAGUGAACCAGUACCGUGAGGGAAAGGCGAAAAGAACCCCGGCGAGGGGAGUGAAAAAGAACCUGAAACCGUGUACGUACAAGCAGUGGGAGCCUCUUAAUGGGGUGACUGCGUACCUUUUGUAUAAUGGGUCAGCGACUUAUAUUCUGUAGCAAGGUUAACCGAAUAGGGGAGCCGAAGGGAAACCGAGUCUUAACUGGGCGUUAAGUUGCAGGGUAUAGACCCGAAACCCGGUGAUCUAGCCAUGGGCAGGUUGAAGGUUGGGUAACACUAACUGGAGGACCGAACCGACUAAUGUUGAAAAAUUAGCGGAUGACUUGUGGCUGGGGGUGAAAGGCCAAUCAAACCGGGAGAUAGCUGGUUCUCCCCGAAAGCUAUUUAGGUAGCGCCUCGUGAAUUCAUCUCCGGGGGUAGAGCACUGUUUCGGCAAGGGGGUCAUCCCGACUUACCAACCCGAUGCAAACUGCGAAUACCGGAGAAUGUUAUCACGGGAGACACACGGCGGGUGCUAACGUCCGUCGUGAAGAGGGAAACAACCCAGACCGCCAGCUAAGGUCCCAAAGUCAUGGUUAAGUGGGAAACGAUGUGGGAAGGCCCAGACAGCCAGGAUGUUGGCUUAGAAGCAGCCAUCAUUUAAAGAAAGCGUAAUAGCUCACUGGUCGAGUCGGCCUGCGCGGAAGAUGUAACGGGGCUAAACCAUGCACCGAAGCUGCGGCAGCGACACUAUGUGUUGUUGGGUAGGGGAGCGUUCUGUAAGCCUGUGAAGGUGUACUGUGAGGUAUGCUGGAGGUAUCAGAAGUGCGAAUGCUGACAUAAGUAACGAUAAAGCGGGUGAAAAGCCCGCUCGCCGGAAGACCAAGGGUUCCUGUCCAACGUUAAUCGGGGCAGGGUGAGUCGACCCCUAAGGCGAGGCCGAAAGGCGUAGUCGAUGGGAAACAGGUUAAUAUUCCUGUACUUGGUGUUACUGCGAAGGGGGGACGGAGAAGGCUAUGUUGGCCGGGCGACGGUUGUCCCGGUUUAAGCGUGUAGGCUGGUUUUCCAGGCAAAUCCGGAAAAUCAAGGCUGAGGCGUGAUGACGAGGCACUACGGUGCUGAAGCAACAAAUGCCCUGCUUCCAGGAAAAGCCUCUAAGCAUCAGGUAACAUCAAAUCGUACCCCAAACCGACACAGGUGGUCAGGUAGAGAAUACCAAGGCGCUUGAGAGAACUCGGGUGAAGGAACUAGGCAAAAUGGUGCCGUAACUUCGGGAGAAGGCACGCUGAUAUGUAGGUGAAGUCCCUCGCGGAUGGAGCUGAAAUCAGUCGAAGAUACCAGCUGGCUGCAACUGUUUAUUAAAAACACAGCACUGUGCAAACACGAAAGUGGACGUAUACGGUGUGACGCCUGCCCGGUGCCGGAAGGUUAAUUGAUGGGGUUAGCGGUAACGCGAAGCUCUUGAUCGAAGCCCCGGUAAACGGCGGCCGUAACUAUAACGGUCCUAAGGUAGCGAAAUUCCUUGUCGGGUAAGUUCCGACCUGCACGAAUGGCGUAAUGAUGGCCAGGCUGUCUCCACCCGAGACUCAGUGAAAUUGAACUCGCUGUGAAGAUGCAGUGUAUCCGCGGCAAGACGGAAAGACCCCGUGAACCUUUACUAUAGCUUGACACUGAACAUUGAGCCUUGAUGUGUAGGAUAGGUGGGAGGCUUUGAAGUGUGGACGCCAGUCUGCAUGGAGCCGGCCUUGAAAUACCACCCUUUAAUGUUUGAUGUUCUAACGUUGGCCCCUGACCGGGGUUGCGGACAGUGUCUGGUGGGUAGUUUGACUGGGGCGGUCUCCUCCUAAAGAGUAACGGAGGAGCACGAAGGUUGGCUAAUCCUGGUCGGACAUCAGGAGGUUAGUGCAAUGGCAUAAGCCAGCUUGACUGCGAGCGUGACGGCGCGAGCAGGUGCGAAAGCAGGUCAUAGUGAUCCGGUGGUUCUGAAUGGAAGGGCCAUCGCUCAACGGAUAAAAGGUACUCCGGGGAUAACAGGCUGAUACCGCCCAAGAGUUCAUAUCGACGGCGGUGUUUGGCACCUCGAUGUCGGCUCAUCACAUCCUGGGGCUGAAGUAGGUCCCAAGGGUAUGGCUGUUCGCCAUUUAAAGUGGUACGCGAGCUGGGUUUAGAACGUCGUGAGACAGUUCGGUCCCUAUCUGCCGUGGGCGCUGGAGAACUGAGGGGGGCUGCUCCUAGUACGAGAGGACCGGAGUGGACGCAUCACUGGUGUUCGGGUUGUCAUGCCAAUGGCACUGCCCGGUAGCUAAAUGCGGAAGAGAUAAGUGCUGAAAGCAUCUAAGCACGAAACUUGCCCCGAGAUGAGUUCUCCCUGACUCCUUGAGAGUCCUGAAGGAACGUUGAAGACGACGACGUUGAUAGGCCGGGUGUGUAAGCGCAGCGAUGCGUUGAGCUAACCGGUACUAAUGAACCGUGAGGCUUAACCUU